rnacentral:rRNA from 1 species
GGAAAGAAACCAACAGGGAUUGCCUCAGUAACGGCGAGUGAAGCGGCAACAGCUCAAAUUUGAAAUCUGGCCCUUUCAGGGUCCGAGUUGUAAUUUGUAGAGGAUGCUUCGGCGAGGGCUCCCGUCUAAGUUCCCUGGAACGGGACGUCAUAGAGGGUGAGAAUCCCGUAUGUGAUGGGUUGCUCGAGCCAUGUGAAGCUCCUUCGACGAGUCGAGUUGUUUGGGAAUGCAGCUCUAAAUGGGAGGUAAAUUUCUUCUAAAGCUAAAUACCGGCCAGAGACCGAUAGCGCACAAGUAGAGUGAUCGAAAGAUGAAAAGCACUUUGGAAAGAGAGUUAAAAAGUACGUGAAAUUGUUGAAAGGGAAGCGCUUGCAACCAGACUUGUCCGCAGUUGUUCAGCCGGUCUCCUGACCGGCGUACUCUUCUGCGGCCAGGCCAGCAUCAGUUCGGGCGGUUGGAUAAAGGCCUCGGGAAUGUGGCUCUCUUCGGGGAGUGUUAUAGCCCGGGGCGGAAUGCAGCCAGCCUGGACUGAGGAUCUCGCUUCGGCAAGGAUGCUGGCGUAAUGGUUGUAAGCGGCCCGUCUUGAAACACGGACCAAGGAGUCUAACAUCUAUGCGAGUGUUUGGGUGUCAAACCCAUACGCGUAAUGAAAGUGAACGGAGGUGGGAACCCGCAAGGGCGCACCAUCGACCGAUCCUGAUGUCUUCGGAUGGAUUUGAGUAAGAGCAUAGCUGUUGGGACCCGAAAGAUGGUGAACUAUGCCUGAAUAGGGUGAAGCCAGAGGAAACUCUGGUGGAGGCUCGCAGCGGUUCUGACGUGCAAAUCGAUCGUCAAAUUUGGGUAUAGGGGCGAAAGACUAAUCGAACCAUCUAGUACUGGU